rnacentral:misc_RNA from 1 species
GAUGAAGAACGCAGUGAAAUGCGAUAAGUAAUGUGAAUUGCAGAAUUCAGUGAAUCAUCGAAUCUUUGAACGCACAUUGCGCCCCCUGGUAUUCCGGGGGGCAUGCCUGUUCGAGCGUCAUUUCACCACUCAAGCCUCGCUUGGUAUUGGGCAACGCGGUCCGCCGCGUGCCUCAAAUCGACCGGCUGGGUCUUCUGUCCCCUAAGCGUUGUGGAAACUUUCGCUAAAGGGUGUUCGGGAGGCUACGCCGUAAAACAACCCCAUUUCUAAGGUUGACCUCGGAUCAGGUAGGGAUACCCGCUGAACUUAAGCAUAUCAAUAAGCGUAGGA